rnacentral:rRNA from 1 species
UACAGAGGUCCCAAGCGUUGUUCGGAUUCACUGGGCGUAAAGGGUGCGUAGGUGGCCAGGUAAGUUUGGUGUGAAAGCUCGGAGCUUAACUCCGAAAAGUCAUUGAAUACUAUCUGGCUGGAGGGUCGGAGGGGAGACUGGAAUUCUCGGUGUAGCAGUGAAAUGCGUAGAUAUCGAGAGGAACACCUGCGGCGAAGGCGGGUUGCUGGGCUGACACUGACGCUGAUGCGCGAAAGCUAGGGGAGCGAACGGG